rnacentral:rRNA from 1 species
CAUGCAGUCGACGGUGAAGCAGAGCUUGCUCUGCGGAUCAGUGGCGAACGGGUGAGUAACACGUGAGUAACCUGCCCUUGACUCUGGGAUAAGCGUUGGAAACGACGUCUAAUACCGGAUACGACCUACGGAGGCAUCUCCUGUGGGUGGAAAGAAUUUUGGUCAAGGAUGGACUCGCGGCCUAUCAGCUAGUUGGUGAGGUAACGGCCCACCAAGGCGACGACGGGUAGCCGGCCUGAGAGGGUGACCGGCCACACUGGGACUGAGACACGGCCCAGACUCCUACGGGAGGCAGCAGUGGGGAAUAUUGCACAAUGGGCGCAAGCCUGAUGCAGCAACGCCGCGUGAGGGACGACGGCCUUCGGGUUGUAAACCUCUUUUAGUAGGGAAGAAGCGAAAGUGACGGUACCUGCAGAAAAAGCACCGGCUAACUACGUGCCAGCAGCCGCGGUAAUACGUAGGGUGCAAGCGUUGUCCGGAAUUAUUGGGCGUAAAGAGCUCGUAGGCGGUUUGUCACGUCUGCUGUGAAAACUGGAGGCUCAACCUCCAGCUUGCAGUGGGUACGGGCAGACUAGAGUGCGGUAGGGGAGAUUGGAAUUCCUGGUGUAGCGGUGGAAUGCGCAGAUAUCAGGAGGAACACCGAUGGCGAAGGCAGAUCUCUGGGCCGUAACUGACGCUGAGGAGCGAAAGCGUGGGGAGCG